UAGUCCACGCCGUAAACGAUGAUCACUCGCUGUAGGCGAUACACAGUCUGUGGCUAAGCGAAAGUUUUAAGUGAUCCACCUGGGGAGUACGAUCGCAAGAUUGAAACUCAAAGGAAUUGACGGGGGCCCGCACAAGCGGAGGAACAUGUGGUUUAAUUCGAUGAUACGCGAGGAACCUUACCUGGACUUAAAUGUAGUUUGACAGCUUUAGAGAUAGAGUUUCCUUCGGGCAAAUUACAAGGUGCUGCAUGGUUGUCGUCAGCUCGUGCCGUGAGGUGUCAGGUUAAGUCCUAUAACGAGCGCAACCCUUGCCGUUAGUUGCCAGCAUGUAAAGAUGGGGACUCUAACGGGACUGCCGGUGCAAACCGUGAGGAAGGUGGGGAUGACGUCAAAUCAUCACGGCCCUUACGUCCUGGGCUACACACGUGCUACAAUGGUGGGUACAGAGAGCAGCCAUGUCGCAAGGCAGAGCGAAUCUAUAAAACCUAUCUCAGUUCGGAUC
rnacentral:rRNA from 1 species